UAGUCAAACACUGGAACCAAGCCAAAUGCCCAUCAAUAGGAAAAUAAAGAAAUAAAUUCGUACAGUGGAAUGCGACACAGCAUAAAAAAAAAAUGACCUGCAGGUUUGCAAAACAACAUAAAUGAAUCUCACAGAUAUGUUGAAUGAAAGAAAUCAGACACAAGAGAGUACAUACUAUAUGAUUCCAUUUAUAUGAAGCUCAAAAACAGGCAAAACUCACUGGUGACGUUAUGUCAACGUCUAGUGCGUUGGGGUCCCUGGGUAAGGGUUGCGAAAGAACCAGGACACAGGGGAUGCAGAGCAAAGGCAGCACUUGCAACUGCAUGCUGUCGUUUAUUUUCCACACAGCUAUAUACUUGCAGCAAUCAGAUAAACAUAACGAUGUGUACUUUCAGUACAUAAUGGGAUUAAGCUAACAUCCUUGAAAAAAGAUACACAAGGUUUAUCAAGAACAGAAUGUAUGCUCGCUGAAUUAAAGAAUUCUCUCAGCCACCCUUCCUCUGGAGUCAGCAUGUUCUUGUCCUAAGAAGGAACACCUCUAAUCUAGGCAAGAGCCACUUCUUGCUGAUCCAGGCAUUUAGAACUUGCAACAUGAGAUAAGGGGAAGAGAACAUUUUCUCUUCCUGGCCCAGGCCUGCCUGGCUGUCCUUAACCUCACUGCAGUUCUCAAAUGACCCUGACUCGCAAGGGGCCUACAAGCCUAUACCAUCUCAACGUUAGAAUGCAGAAUAGUGGUUACCUCUGGAGGAGGGAACAGACAGGGAAAGGGCACAAAGGAAUCUAUGGCAGGUCUUCUCUGAGACAGCAUCCAGCAGGAAAAAGAAGACCCUGCCUCAUUGCUUCCAGAGCAAAGCCAAUACUUAGAGCCAAAAACCGAGAAAAAAAAAAUUAGCCGAAGAGCUGAAUCACUUGUCUCACCCAGACAGGGGAAACCCCAUGCCCGCCAUGCUCAGAACUGAUCCAGGUGCCUCAGAAUGCACUGGUUUACUAAACUGGGGAAGCUGGAGAGCUCUCUUCCUGUCCUUUGACUUGACAGUGGCUUACUGUCCCUCCGGUAAGGGGACAGCCCAGCCCUGUUUCACAAUGCCAACUCAUGCCCUCUGCUGGUCAUAAAACAGCACGCUGCCCUAGAGAGAAGACUUACGCAUCAUCCCUGCCAUUCACUUUGCACCCUGGAAGGAACCUAUGCCUCCCAAACGGCACAAAGUUGGAAUCUGAGCUGACCUCACUGAGCCCUCUCCCAAGUGGAAACUUUCUCAUUAAAUGGGAUGGAAGCAGGAGAUGGAACUUAUGCACUUAAUCCUGUACCUACCUCCUGUGAGCUAUGUUGGUUAUUAAUCCAGAGAAGCUGGAAGCCCCCUCCCGCCCCCCCAAAUGGCCUACAGGAGUGAUACGGGUCACAGUGGUGCUGAACACUUGUACCUGCAAUGCAGAUAUUGGCAGUAGGUUGUGAAAGAACUGGAUGAGAGAAGACAAGAAAACUAGCUCAUUGAAUCUCUUGCAAAUGUGCUUCCGAAAAGCUGCCUUUGUCUACAAAGUCAAACAUUGGAACCAGGCCAGUUUGUCUGCUGGUUCACGAGGGAGAGCUCCGGGCAAGGAUAUUUGCCCUUGGGCAGGAACCACUCUUCCUACGGAUGCCGACUCUGGCUUUCUGCCACCACCCCGGGAAGUCCACACUCCAGGUAGAAAUGCCAAAAUGGGCACAUACUUCGGGAAUUUCCAAUAGCUGAAGCUCCUGCUCAGUCCACGAGGCCCGGGCCGUUCUUUGUGUCUCCUUUGGUCAAGACUCUCCUGGUUAUUUCACUUUUUCUUUUGACACAUCACAAGGGGGCAAAUACAGUAUUGCACAACCAGUGGGGGGAAAAAGGCAUGGGAGUUUUCUGGUGGUUUGCUGAAGCUGGCUUUCUUGUAUUACUUGUAUUGGCUGUGUCUCUAAAGUCCAUCUUUUUAGAAGUCAACUCAUUAUGAGCAACCACCUCACAUCCCUGAACCAAAGUUAAAAAUAAAUGUGACAUGGGAUCAGGCUUUGAUGCAGGAGCUUCAAUAUGAGUUAACCGCUCUCCUCAGAAGAGCCAUCAUUGAUCUGUGCUUUCAUGAUUUCGUGGCAAGACCACUUUCGCUCCUGCAAAAUCAUGGUCAAAGAUGUCUUUGAGCAACUGAUCUCGAGUCCCUUGCAUGAGGCUCUACAAAAUCUAAUUUUCUAACCAUGAAAUGCCAGGAGAAUGUUUGCUCCUCCAAACAAAAUCAUUUGUAGCUGCUACUGCUUCUUUCCUUCUCCUUCUUCAAAUGAUGAUAAAUCUCACAUGGCCUACCUACCAUUUUUAUUUUUGCCUUGGGUGCUAGGAAGCUCAGAGUUAAAGUUCCUGCUCAGACUAUUUUAUCCACAUUCCUGAUGGAAUAUUUCAACUACUUUGCUAUAACCAGCUUCUAUUCUAUCUCUUGAAAUUCCUCGUUUUCACUGUGUUUAAAAUUAUAAAAAACCCCGCAUGUCCUUUUUUUUAAUAAAGAGGCAGGAUAAAAUUAGUUAAUUAAAUCUGACUUUGGGGGUAAGCUCCCAUGCCACUUAAAAUAGAAUUGAACACCUAAUGUUCAGUGAAGCUUGGUGAUUGCUAUUGUUCAGAAAGAAUUAGCUCUGGGUGGGGUUUGCGUUACUGAUUUGAAUCUGUUUUCUUGGAGCUGAUUUGAAUUGAUUGGUGAGGCUGAGGGGCAGUCACUUCCUACACUCUUUUGUUUGAAAGGAUUGUGUUUUGCAUCACAGCCCAGGGCGGCAAGCAGGUGCAGAGGCUCAAAACAAUCUUUUCUGCUCUUGGCAAAGAUCUUCUGACAGCUAUACACAUCCAUGUUCUUACCUUUCAGCCAAACCUUGCCACAAGUAACAGCUCUGCGAAAAUCUCAAUAGAACAAAAGGUGUCCAAGCCCUGGGACUUAAAAGAGGUCCACUUCUUAAAACAAUUACCAACUAACAAAGUAGCAGAACAACUGAUAUAUUUGGACUGGGCUCAGGUUCGGCUACAGGGAGGUGGGACGGUUUCUGGUUCAUGGAACGCGGGACAUGUUCCCAGCAUUGUCUUAGGGCCCCGUUAUUUACAAAACCAAUCAACGGCAAUUCAAUCAGUUAGAACCCUCAGUUAAUUGGAGCCUUAUCCACCCCAUUCUCAAAUGUAGGUGCUUUGUUUUUAACAUAAAAAGCCACAUUACAGGAAGUUACAUUUAUGUCUGAGAGGUAACAAAAAUACCAAUAACCAGGGAAUGUCCUUGACUUAACCCAAGUUCUUAUAUAGCUGUCUGUACCCGUACUGCAAAUAGCAUUGCUGUACUGAGCCUGCAGGUGCUAUGGCAUCCUCAGUUCCUAUAGGAAAAAGCAUUUUCUCUCACUAUAAUUUUAACAAGGGUUCAAAAGUGUGUCAACCAAAAUAGAGUGGGUUUCCAUUCAGUUAACACAGAAAGGGCAAGAUGUCAUUGCCAUCUCUUCCAUGAGCACUUUGGCCAAGCAAGCUUUGUGAAAAUGCUUCCUUUCCAAAUGCCUCUCCUUGAGGCAUUAAAAAACAACAAUUAAAACAAAAACAAAACUCAGAAGCCUCCUGUGUGGCCCGAAGGGGUCAAUUCCUUAAGGAAGUAAUUAUGUCCUUCUAGUCAAAGUUACGGAAUAUCUACUCUGUGUUUGGAUGAAGACAGACAGGUACCCACAUAGCACUGCUCUUCAUCCCCGCAGAAGACACGUGGGGCUGAUGGUCCUGGGACCCCUGCAUGGCAGCCAGCAACCGCUAUCAACCCGCGGUGCCCAGAAGACACAAGCAGCUCCAACCUCCUAUACCAGUUGUUCACUGCUCACCUACUAUGUGCCAGGCUGGGAAAACAAACAUGAAUAAGGCACUGUCCUAGCAGAGCCCACAGUCUAAAGGGACAGGCAGACAUACAAACAGACUCCUAGGGGCACCUGGGUGGCUCAGUCAUUGGGCAUCUGCCUUCAGUUUGGGUCAUGAUCCCAGGGUCCUGGGAUCAAGCCUCUCAUCGGGCUCUCCACGCCUGCUUCUUCCUCUCCCACUCCCCCUGCUUGUGUUCCCUCUCUUGCUGUCUCUCUGUCAAAUAAAUAAAUAAAAUCUUAAAAAAAAAAAACAAAACAGAACAGACUCCUAUCUUAGCAGGAAAGUGCUCUGACCAGGAUGGGUCCUGGUAUGGUGUGAGCACCAACAGUGUGGGGCUGAACUCCUGCCUGGCCUGCAACCUGGGGUCAGGAAGCCCUCUUGGAGGCAGAGACUUCGGAUUGAGGCUUAAAUGCACCACAGCAAAGCGCUGAGGUGCACAGGCUCUGGAGGCCGGUGAGGUGGGUUCAAACCCUACUUCUACCACUUUUUAACCAUGUG